rnacentral:rRNA from 1 species
UGGCAACGGGUGAGUAACGCGUGGGUGACCUGCCUUCGAGCGGGGGAUAACGUUUCGAAAGGAACGCUAAUACCGCAUGACAUCCUGCCUUUGAAGAGGUGGAGAUCAAAGCUGGGGAUCGCAAGACCUAGCACUUGAAGAGGGGCCCGCGUCUGAUUAGCUAGUUGGUGAGGUAACGGCUCACCAGGGCGACGAUCAGUAUCCGGCCUGAGAGGGCGGACGGACACACUGGGACUGAGACACGGCCCAGACUCCUACGGGAGGCAGCAGUGGGGAAUUGUUCGCAAUGGGCGCAAGCCUGACGACGCAACGCCGCGUGGAGGAUGAAGACCUUCGGGUCGUAAACUCCUUUCGAUCGAGACGAAAGACUUCCGGGUGAACAAUCCGGGAGAGUGACGGUACCGAGAGAAGAAGCCCCGGCUAACUCCGUGCCAGCAGCCGCGGUAAUACGGGGGGGGCAAGCGUUGUUCGGAAUUACUGGGCGUAAAGGGCUCGUAGGCGGCCAACUAAGUCAGACGUGAAAUCCCUCGGCUUAACCGGGGAACUGCGUCUGAUACUGGAUGGCUUGAGGUUGGGAGAGGGAUGCGGAAUUCCAGGUGUAGCGGUGAAAUGCGUAGAUAUCUGGAGGAACACCGGUGGCGAAGGCGGCAUCCUGGACCAAUUCUGACGCUGAGUGAGCGAAAGCCAGGGGAGCAAACGGGAUUAGAUACCCCGGUAGUCCUGGCCCUAAACGAUGAAUGCUUGGUGUGGCGGGUAUCGAUCCCUGCCGUGCCGAAGCUAACGCAUUAAGCAUUCCGCCUG